GCAAGUCGAACGAGAAAGCACCUUCGGGUGUGAGUAGAGUGGCGAACGGGUGAGUAACACGUAGGUAACCUGCCUUCGAGAGGGGGAUAACAGUUCGAAAGGACUGCUAAUACCGCAUAAUGCCCCGGGUUCUUCGGAAUCUGGGGUCAAAGGUGGCCAAUCCUUGGAAGCUACCACUUGAAGAGGGGCCUGCGGUCCAUUAGCUUGUUGGUGAGGUAACGGCUCACCAAGGCUGCGAUGGAUAGCUGGUCUGAGAGGAUGAUC
rnacentral:rRNA from 1 species